rnacentral:rRNA from 1 species
UACGGGGGGGAGCAAGCGUUGUUCGGAAUUACUGGGCGUAAAGGGCGCGUAGGCGGCCUUCUAAGUCGAACGUGAAAUCCCCGGGCUCAACCCGGGAACUGCGUCCGAUACUGGAAGGCUUGAAUCCGGGAGAGGGAUGUGGAAUUCCAGGUGUAGCGGUGAAAUGCGUAGAUAUCUGGAGGAACACCGGUGGCGAAGGCGACUAUCUGGCUGACAACUGACGCUGAGACUCGAAAGCAUGGGGAGCAAACAGG